GUGGAUUAGAUACCCUGGUAGUCCACGCCCUAAACGGUGCACACUAGGUCUUGGCGGAUUCGAUCCCACCAGGGCCCAAGCUAACGCGUUAAGUGUGCCGCCUGAGGACUACGGUCGCAAGACUAAAACUCAAAGGAAUUGACGGGGGCCCGCACAAGCGGUGGAGUAUGUGGCUCAAUUCGAUGCAACGCGAAGAACCUUACCUGGCCUUGACAUGCAUUAGACCGGACCUGAAAGGGUCCUUUCCUUCGGGACUGGUGCACAGGUGCUGCAUGGUCGUCGCCAGCU
rnacentral:rRNA from 1 species